UAGCUCAGUAGGUUGAGCAUCUGAUUUUGACUCAGGUCAUGAUCUUGUAGUUUGUGAGUUCAAGCCUCAC
rnacentral:tRNA from 1 species